UUUCUCAAUGGGGGAAACCCUGAAGGAGCGACGCCGCGUGAAGGAUGAAGGUCUUCGGAUUGUAAACUUCUGUCAUUGGUGAACAAGGCCCACGCAGUAACUGGUGUUGGGAUUGAUAGUAGCCGAAGAGGAAGAGGCGGCUAACUCUGUGCCAGCAGCCGCGUGUAAUACAGAGGCCUCGAGCGUUGUUCGGAUUCAUUGGGCGUAAAGGGUGCGUAGGUGGCGAGGCAAGUCUGGUGUGAAAUCCUAGGGCUCAACCCUGGAACUGCACUGGAUACUACUUUGCUAGAGUACUGGAGAGGAGAUUGGAAUUUACGGUGUAGCAGUGAAAUGCGUAGAUAUCGUAAGGAAGACCAGUGGCGAAGGCGAAUCUCUGGACAGUUACUGACACUGAGGCAUGAAGGCCAGGGGAGCAAACGGGAUUAGAUACCCCGGUAGUCCUGGCAGUAAACGGUGCGCGUUUGGUGUGGGAGGAAUCGACCCCUUCCGUGCCGGAGCUAACGCGUUAAACGCGCCGCCUGGGGAGUACGGUCGCAAGAUUAAAACUCAAAGAAAUUGACGGGGGCCCGCACAAGCGGUGGAGUAUGUGGCUUAAUUCGAUGCAACGCGAAGAACCUUACCUAGGCUUGACAUGCAUCUCUAAGGCGGUGAAAGCCGUUGAGUACCGCAAGGUACAAUUUGCACAGGUGCUGCAUGGCUGUCGUCAGCUCGUGUCGUGAGAUGUUGGGUUAAGUCCCGCAACGAGCGCAACCCCUGUGAUCUGUUGCUAACCGGCUUGUCCGGAGCACUCUGGUCAGACUGCCCUGUGAAACGGGGAGGAAGGUGGGGAUGACGUCAAGUCAGCAUGGCCCUUACGCCUAGGGCUGCACACGUACUACAAUGCUCAGUACAGAAUGAACCGAAACCGCGAGGUGGAGGAAAUCCCUAAAACUGAGCCCAAUUCGGAUCGCAGGCUGCAACUCGCCUGCGUGAAGCCGGAAUCGCU
rnacentral:rRNA from 1 species